UACGAAGGAUGCGAGCGUUAUCCGGAUUUAUUGGGUUUAAAGGGAGCGUAGGCGGUCUUAUAAGUCAGUGGUGAAAUCCUAUCGCUUAACGAUAGACGUGCCAUUGAUACUGUAGGACUUGAGUACAGAUGCCGUUGGCGGAAUGUGUUAUGUAGCGGUGAAAUGCAUAGAUAUGACACAGAACACCGAUUGCGAAGGCAGCUGACGAAACUGUAACUGACGCUGAGGCUCGAAAGCGUGGGGAUCAAACAGG
rnacentral:rRNA from 1 species